UCUGAAAACCUGAAGCAAGCAGACGAUAAAAAAAGGAAAACCGAUCCCGGCCCCGACUCUCUUCCCCAACCUCCCCACUCCCUGCGUCUCCAUCCCGCAACCGCUGCCGCGCCCACUCCCCGAACCUCCCCGCCGCUGCGCGCCAUCCCCCGGCCCCGCCCCGCCCCGUCUCCCCUGCCUUCUUCCCCAACACCAUCCCGGACCUUCGUCCCAAGCAUCCGUCGCGUCCAGAUCCACCCGCCGGUGACGCCCACCGCCGGCACCCCGCUACCCAUUACCUUCCCGGCGGCUCCGCCUGCGUACCACCACCGGCGCGCCCCUGUGCCCAGUCGCAGUUGCUGCCUCGCCACCCGCGCCCACCACCUGGCACCCAUGGCCGCCAUUGCCAGGACCUUCCCUCCCCAACGAGGCUACACCUAGCCAGAGGACUACUGCUCUCCAACGCCUGGACCGACGCAGUCAACCGUGCGCCGGCAAUGUGCAACCGGUCACCAAACCCGCGCGCAGGAAUUCGUCCAUGGUUGACAGCCUCAACCAUGGCGCUCCAUCCCCACACGCCGCCGCUGGCCGUCGCCGUCCCUGACCACCAGACAAGCACCGCCGCCCCUGCAUCUCCGGCCACAUCGACCUUCUCAGGAGGGCUACCUUGACCUUCCCGGGGAACGUUCAUCCAUGGAGUGGCCGCUGCCGCCACUCCACUCCCGCGCUGUGCCUGGCUUGCCGCAAGCCUCCGCCCUCCAUCACUAGUGCGUUGCCACCACAUGGAGCUUCCAGCGCCAAGAUUCCCUUGUGCGCCAUCAGCUAGCACCUAUGCUGCGUGGCUACUUCACACCCUGUUGUGCUUCAGAUUCUGUAGAGCUUGAGGUUCAGAGCUUUUCCCUUCUGAAAUUCAGUGAAGGGAAGGACUACCUGAGCGCUACCAGCAGUACAAGGAGUUUACAAGGCAAGAGAUGGGUCAAUAGAUGAUCCCUACUUUGCAGCAGUGUGCUGUACGUGUGGAGGAAAGGUCAAGCAAAAAGUGUAGUUUGAUAAUUACGUCGUAACUUAUUAAGCUGGCUUGCUCUCUGGCUCUUAUUACUUUGUGUUUGUGCCUCAAACAAAAGAAAAAAAGCAAAACAUAUAUUUGAAGAUUUUACACUAGAGAAGUUCAUGUACACAGACCUAUCCCGAUGCCCAGCUCCCUGCCGCAGCGAUGCCUGUGUGCCCCCCAAUGCCUCCUUCCGGCUCGCCGCCGCACCCGCAACCUCCUGGCACGCCGCCACCCCUGCCAACUUCCGGCGCGAGGCCGCCUCCGCUUCCUCCUUGCGUGUUAUCGCCCGCACCUCAUCCAGCGUGAGGCCGCCCCUUCUUCAGGGCGAGGUGGAUUUGGACUUCAGCGGCAGUACAUAGAGCACUUCGGGAGCACGUGGCGAGCUCAGAAAAACUGGCCGCCCCUCGCUCUGGCAAGCUCAACUGCUCUUGUCGGCGGCUGCCCAUCCCACUGCUCGUCGUCGACCACAAAGGCGUGAGGAGGUCGAGCUUCCAUGCUCAUUAACAAAUAAGUUCAAAGAUAAUAAAUCACAUGCGUCCCUCUCCAUCUGUGUGUGUUCAUGGAAAAACUAGGUGGUUUAUUUUAUUUUUGUGUAUAGAAAGAAAGAAGUUCAAAUAUAAUAAACAAAAAAGUUCAAGAA